rnacentral:rRNA from 1 species
GCUGGCGGCGUGCUUGAUACAUGCAAGUCAAGGAGAACAUUAUCUUCGGAUAAUAAGUAAACUGGCGAACGGGUGAGUAACGCGUAAACAACUUGCCUCAGAGAUUGGGACAACAUUGGGAAACCAGUGCUAAUACCAAAUAAUGCAGCGGGCUCUUCGGAGCACAGUUGUUAAAGUAGGCUUCGGCUUACACUUUGAGAUAGGUUUGCGUCCGAUUAGUUAGUUGGUAGGGUAAAAGCCUACCAAGACCAAGAUCGGUAGCUGUUCUGAGAGGAUGAUCAGCCACACUGGAAUUGAGAUACGGUCCAGACUCCUACGGGAGGCAGCAGUAAGGAAUUUUGCACAAUGGGCGAAAGCCUGAUGCAGCAACGCCGCGUGAACGAUGAAGUUUUUAGGAAUGUAAAGUUCUGUCGUAUGGGAAGAAAUCUUUCGAAUGUUAAUACCAUUCGUCAAUGACGGUACCAUACAAGAAAGCACCGGC